CACUGGCCGUUCUGCAAGACGUCCCGGUGGAACCAGUCUAUGCACCAAAACAAAAAAUAUCGAGCGCGGUACCGAGCGAGGGGACGGUAAAUAGAUAUUGCAAUAAUAACAAUCCCCUACAAAUGGUUGUCUCCCUUCGUAGAGGCAACAACAGAUGGGUGCCUGCUAGACAGCUGCAGUGUUUCCGCUGGAACAGGAGUUCAGUGUUGUCACGACAACGGCUGUCAAACAUAGUCUCAGGACAUUUAUGAAGCUUUCAAGGCCUUUUGACUGAUCAGCCAAUCAAUGGGGAUUCUCCGAGGAGCUCCUUCCUGCGUGGCCCGUGUCCCCCCUCCCCUCCGCCUCCUGCCCUCCCCCCUAACCUCCCCUCUGCCCUCCCCCAACAUGAAACUGUGGCUGACUGAAUGGCCAUUAAUAUGGAUUUUUACCUCAUCUAGACUGUAAAUCACAUGACAACACACGCACACACCUGUGUUGUACCAAAUCAACCUGCCCCUGCUGGGUAGAGACACACGACACACUCCCACACACACCGACUCUUUUCACACACUCUCAUCACUCCCACAGACACACUCACAUCACUCCCACACACACAGACACACUCUUUCUCACACCCCCACACGCACCUGGAAUGUACCCGUAGCCUCUGAGAGGCCGUCUUUGUUUCCGGAAGAAUCCAGAAGGCUCGGAUCGCCGUGUCGACAGCAACACAGUUCCAUAUUUUAUAUUUUAUAUUUAUUUUUGCUACCUGGUGACCUUGUGACCUUCCUCGUCGCCGCGGGAACCAGCUGGGAGGAGACGCGUGUCGUUGGCGUGCCGUUGGCGUGUUGUCCCACACGGGUGCAUGCCGGCCGCAAUGGCGCCCCAGAACACAGAGACUGAGAGCAUGGUGGUGCCGGGGGGGCUGGGGGGAGGGCAAGGCCCGGCGGGGGGGAAGGGUGGAGGCCGGGGGGAGGCGGGAGAGACCACGGAGGAGUGUGUGAGCGAGGGCUCCAUAGACCGCAUCCCUCUCAGACAGUGGGUCAUGCACGGAGCCGUGAUGUUCGGGAGAGAGUUCUGCUACGCCAUGGAGACCGCCUUGGUUACACCUGUCCUGCUGCAA